GUGUGUGUAUGCGCGCGCGCGCGCGCGCACAAGUUCCUGGUCCAACCCUUAGUCUAACAUUCAGAAUAUCUGGGUCCAAGUCCCAGUCACACACAAAUGUGCCAAGGGCCUCAAUGAUAGUCAAACUUUCUAAACACAAUCCAUGUUUAUCAAACUGUGAGCCAAAAUAAACCUUCCUCCCUUAAGCUGCUGCUCCUGGGCGUUUUACCACGUGACACGGCUAUUUGAAAGUCUAUGGUAGCUCUGCUUCCCAGAGUGGCUUCGGGAGAAACGGUCAUGCCAAAGAAACGACCCUUUUCUGACUGAUCUGGUGAGUGUGGAAAAGGGAAAGCAACGGCUGUGACGGGCUGCAGGGGAAGCUCCUGAAGCCUGAAGUUACUCACGUCCUGCAGCUCGUUCAUGCCAGCAGGACCAUGAGAGCCGUCAGCCUGGCUUCCAGCCAGUCUGGCAUGAAGCUUCUUUCUUCUGUAAGACAACAAAAGCUGCCACUGUGGCUCAGCAACCACCCAGGUACAAAGAGGACACCAAGUUUGCCUGCCUGUCUUCAUCUCUUGGUUAUGUGUUCAUCUACUCUGCAGCUGCUACUGUGGCUGCUGCUGCCAUUCUUUCCUCCAUCACAACCCAGCCUCUUUGGGCUUCCAACAUGGACUGACAUGCUCAGUGGCUCUUCAAGAAGCAUCUGGGCUUUCCAUGCCAGAUUAGACUUCUGAGGCAUACAACCUCGUGCCUCAACCUCCCCAGCUAGCAAGCAACCACUACUGUAAGCCAAUCUAAUACAUUUCCUUUCAAUAUUUACUCAUUCUAUCAUUCUGUCCUUCUAAAGAACUCCGACUAACGUGCCCACCAUCCAGCUUUACUCAGACAGAAAAGCUACAUUCCAGGAGACAGGAAGACAGCCUGGGGACACGGCUCAGCUGCCAGAGCAUUCACCUUGCCUGUGGAAAGCUAUGGAUCAAUCCCUAACACCACAUAAACUGGGUGUGAUGGUGUGCACGUAAUCCCAGCACUUCAGGAGGUGGAGGCAAAAAGAACCAAGUUCAGAACCAUCCUCAACCCCACAGAGAGCUUUAAAGGACAGAUGACACAUGAGACACGGUCUCACAAAGCAGAACUUGAUACAUCAUGCUCACCUCGAUGUAGCUGCUCCCAGAGGCUCUGCCCUGUGGCCUGCCCACCCCUCCGAGUCUAACUCAGAAGAGUAUAGCGUUCCUUCUUCCUUCUUUUGUAUCUCUUUUUCACUGACCAACACCUGGCGUACUUCCCUGCCUGUAUCACAGGAUCUCUGAGGCUCCUCCACCACAAUCCGCCACAGCACUGCCUCCGUGCCAACCUCCAUGCAAGGGACUCCACUUUCUCCCUCCCUUUCCUCCAGCUCCUAUUCCAGCAGUCACUGAGACUGACAGCUGCCCACUCUGGUUGUUUACUGGCCAUGUUCUGAGACGUGGUUGCAGAGGCAUGCUUUUACCUCCUAUGUUCUGAUGCAUAUGGUAGAAGCAUGUGUUUGCCUCCUAUGUUCUGAUGCAUGUGAGAGGCAUGUGUUAACCUCCUAUGUUCUAAUGUAUGUGAUGGAAGCAUGCAUACCUUUACCUCCUAUGUUCUGAUGCAUGUGAGAGGCAUGUGUUAACCUCCUAUGUUCUGAUGCAUGUGAUAGAGGCAUGCAUACCUUUACCUCCUAUGCUCUGAUGCAUGUGAUAGAGGCAUGCAUACCUUCACCUCCUAUGUUCUGAUGUAUGUGAUAGAGGCAUGCAUACCUUCACCUCCUAUGCUCUGAUGCAUGUGAGAGGCAUGUGUUAACCUCCUAUGUUCUAAUGUAUGUGAUAGAAGCAUGCAUACCUUUACCUCCUAUGCUCUGAUGCAUGUGAGAGGCAUGCCUUUACCUCCUAUGUUCUGAUGAAGGUAAGGAUUGGAAGAAGCUGAGAAGCCAUUACCUCUGAGAGUUCCGGAGAGUAAGGAAGCGAUUUCACUUCAUACAGCUCCAAGAAGUGGAUCACACCUUCUUUGGCCAGAAUUUUAUUCUCACCUUCAAACAUUCUCUUAUAGAUGCACAUGUGCCAGGAGGGAUGGAAAAGCCAGCAGCCUGUGGGAACAAGUACCCGAUGCUGACAUACGACUCUAAGCUUUAGAUCUCUGCAUGGAGACUGUAGGCUGAUAAGCAAAUACAUAUGCUAUGCGGCCACACUAACAACGUGAGAGCACCGUGGCAGUGAGCUUGUUAAUGACACAUACAGAGCUUGUAGAACUCAGUCACCUCGGCGUUCAACAUUGUGGAUGCAGCCAACUGCUGCAACCAGCACAGUACUCGAGAAAGCACUACCCUGCGUGGACAGACGGGUAGAUCUGAGUGCUUCAGUGAAUCCUCCCCUCACCCCACCUGAGACCAUUUCAUACAUGACUCUAAAACCGUCUCACACACACACACACACACACACACACACACACACACACACACCCUACUUAAAACCCUUGAGUAGCUUCCCACCAUUCUGAAACUCUGAACAGGACACAGGUAGACACUGGCCAUGCUGGUCUUCCUGCCUCUGCAGACCUGCUUUUCUCAGAAUCCCCACUAUCCUCAAAGAGCUCCCAGCACAGGGCUGGUCAGCUCCUAGCUCUGAGGUCAUGUGUCACCCCAUGUCAGGCCUAACCUCCCCUCACAUAAACUCCUUUUGGCCCCUUCUCUUUUCUCUUUAUGGUACCUGGAGCCAAAACUGUUUCAUGAAAAAUAAAUAACUAAAUCUCUCUCA